CUCAGAUCACGUAAUAUAUUAAAGGUCGAACAGACCCUCCUUUCUUAAUUUCUUCACCAAAAAUAAAAAUUAAUUCAACAUCGAGGUCACAAACUUAAUUAUUAAUAAGAACUCGCUAAUUAAAUAAUGCUGUUACCCCUAGAGUAACUUUUUAAAUUCUUAAUUUAAUUUAACAAAAAUUAGUCUCUUCAAUAAUUUCCCCAAUCCAAAAAUAUUUAAAUUUUUAAGCUUCUAGGGUCUUCUCGUCCCAAGGAAUUACAAAAGCAUUUUUACUUUUAAUUUAAGUUCAAAUUUAUAUAAUAAAACCUUCUUUUUAGUUUCUACCCUUCAUUCCAGUUUACAAUUAAAAAA
rnacentral:rRNA from 1 species